GGACUACUGGGGUUUCUAAUCCCGUUCGCUCCCCUGGCUUUCGCGCAUCAGCGUCAGAAAAGGUCCAGCACGCCGCUUUCGCCACCGGCGUUCCUUCCGAUAUCAACGCAUUUCACCGCUCCACCGGAAGUUCCGCAUGCCCCUACCUUCCUCCAGACCACCAGUAUCCAAGGCCCUUUUCCGGUUGAGCCGAAAGAUUUCACCCCGGACUGGGUGGUCCGCCUACGCGCCCUUUAAGCCCAGUGAUUCCGAACAACGUUCGCACGGUUCGUCUUACCGCGGCGGCUGGCAC
rnacentral:rRNA from 3 species